UACAGAGGGUGCAAACGUUGUUCGGAAUUACUGGGCGUAAAGCGCGCGCAGGCGGCCUUUUAAGUCUCGUGGUGAAAUGCCGGGGCUCAACCCCGUGCCCGCCGGAGAUACUGGGAGGCUGGAGACAUGUAGAGGCAAGCGGAAUUCCGGGUGUAGCGGUGGAAUGCGUAGAGAUCCGGAAGAACACCGGAGGCGAAGGCGGCUUGCUGGGCAUUGUCUGACGCUGAGGCGCGAAAGCGUGGGGAGCGAACAGG
rnacentral:rRNA from 1 species